rnacentral:rRNA from 1 species
UACGAAGGGGGCUAGCGUUGCUCGGAAUCACUGGGCGUAAAGGGUGCGUAGGCGGGGCUUUAAGUCAGGGGUGAAAUCCUGGAGCUCAACUCCAGAACUGCCUUCGAUACUGGGGAGCUAGAGUCCGGGAGAGGUGAGUGGAACUGCGAGUGUAGAGGUGAAAUUCGUAGAUAUUCGCAAGAACACCAGUGGCGAAGGCGGCUCACUGGCCCGGUACUGACGCUGAGGUGCGAAAGCGUGGGGAGCAAACAGG